AUAGGAUACAAGAGAUAACACCUGGCUUUCCAAAUGAGGCUUUGUUGUCUAUACCCAAACAUAAUAUAGUUAAAUGUUCUAUGAAUUUAUUCAUAGCAGAUAAUCAGGCAUAACACUGGACAUUUAAAAAAUAAACUUCUGGUUCAGUAUUUGUCUAAAUAUUACUUUUUUGAAUUUUUUUUUAGGGAAGAUGGCUUUAUGCUUUAUUGGCUUGUCUUGAAAAGCCUUUAUUACCUGAGGCUCAUUCACUGAUUCGGCAGCUUGCAAGAAGGUGCUCUGAAGUGAGGCUCUUAGUGGAUAGCAAAGAUGAUGAGAGGGUUCCUGCUUUGAAUUUAUUAAUCUGCUUGGUUAGCAGGUAUUUUGACCAACGUGAUUUAGCUGAUGAGCCAUCUUGAUGUAGCUGAUCUCUCAGGGAUAGAAGAUAUUUCUCAUGAAGGCAGCCUAACUGAGGAAAGCAAUACCAAUUCAAGUACAGACUGCAACACAUCUUCAACACUAUGUGAAGGGUUCACAUCUUAACCUGUGCAAUUCAGAUUGAUACUCAGAAUAUGGGUUGUAUUGAUUUGAACAUCUGAAAUAUCAAUGGAAAAUCCCACUCAGUUUUUGAUGAAUAGUUUGAACAGUUUUCUGUAAUCAAGCAGCUUGCAUAGAAAUUGUAUGAUGAA
rnacentral:sRNA from 1 species